UACGUAGGGUGCGAGCGUUAAUCGGAAUUACUGGGCGUAAAGCGUGCGCAGGCGGUUUUGUAAGCCAGAUGUGAAAUCCCCGGGCUCAACCUGGGAAUGGCAUUUGGGACUGCAAGGCUCGGAGUUUGGCAGAGGAGACUGGAAUUCCUGGUGUAGCAGUGAAAUGCGUAGAUAUCAGGAGGAACACCAGUGGCGAAGGCGACUACCUGGCCUGUUCUUGACGCUGAGGCGCGAAAGCGUGGGGAGCAAACAGG
rnacentral:rRNA from 1 species